ACAGUAGUAUAUGACUGACGGAAAAAGUGGAGUAACCACGUGAAGUAUACGAAAAAAUGCCGACCGUCUGGGCGAUGUCU
rfam:Lactobacillus bifermentans DSM 20003 NODE_326, whole genome shotgun sequence.